UCUGAUUGGCAGUUAGUGGCUCCGCCCACUUUUUCUAACCUGGAAUUGUACUUACCCAGUGACUAACUCUGCAAACUUUGCAUUAACUCUGCAGAGUCUGGGGACCCCGGUGUUAUUACUGUGAGAAUGGCAGCAGGUUGGAUUUUCGCCAAGUCAGAACGUUCAGAUAAGGUGGCCAAGCGGCUGCAAUUGAUGGCGCAGAGAUACGAGGCUCUGGAGAAAAGGCGCAACAUGGAGGUAGAGGGCUAUAAGACUGACAUCAAGCUGCUGAGACAGCGGUUAAAGGAUGUAGAGAAGCAACUAUUCAAGGUGACGCUGAACAUCAGGCCAGACCAAGAUCUUGCUAUUCUGGAUGCAGUGCGGCAGGGCAACAAAAAGACACAAAAAUUUCAAGGGGAACUGAGCCUGGAGAAUGAACUGAGAAUCGGAUAGAGCACAAGGGAGACUGACGGAGCUGCCACACUAAACAAGGAGCCACAGGUGUUGGGCGAUAUUCCUCUGCACCCCCCUUUCACCCCGGAGCUCGGCAAUGAAAGGGUGCGUGAGGAGCUGCCUUGCAGAUGGUCUCCUGCCUGGGUCUCUCUGCAGGCACUCGCUGAUGAAGAAGCGGAACUCGUCACUCCUGGAAAAAAAAACGGUGUGAAAGGGACUCACCAAUUGCCCCUUGAUGGUAAUGAUGGAACUGGACCAGUUGUUAUUCGCUGGAUCAGCUUCUGCUUGGGAAGUCUUCUGAAUGCUGGGAUGUAAAGAUACAACACAAAAACAUGAUGACUGAUGAAUACAACA